ACACGCACCACUCCCAAAAACCACAACAAAAAAAAAAAAAAAAAAAACCAACAAAAAAAAAAAAAAAAAAAAAAAAAAAAAAAAAAUAUUAUUUCUAUAAAAAAAAAAAAAAAAAAAAAAAAAUCCAACCCUUUUCAUCCAGAACAUUUUUUAAAUACAUAAUAUGCUGUUAAAUAUAGGAUUAUGCUAUCAUAAUAAACCAUUAAAUCAAAUAAUAACAAAUAAACAACGGAAAAUUAUCUCUUUAAUGUUUCAGUUAAUGAUAUGGACAUAUGGCCGUUUCGAUUUUCCACACAGUACCGCUGAUACUCCCAACGCUAGUGUUUCACAAAACUUGGGUCAGGAAAAACAGAAAGAAAGCACCAUAUGAAAUCUUAAACCUACUGUAUAACCUUUGAUGUUUCUUCUGCUUCAGAGAUAAAUUACAGAUGCUGGUCGAUGGAGCGUGAGAGAAAGACAACAUCAAAACAGCCGUGUGUGUGUGCGUUCACCUGGUGUUGCUCUUGCUUGACUGACUCUGGAAAUCGAAGGACUCCAGGAGUUACGCAGGGGGAAGAACAAACCCACACAGAUCAGAGAGCUGUGUUCCCCGGGACAGAGAGGGGUCUUCUGGGUACCGCUGAACUGACAACCCCUGGAGCAGAUACGCGGCACUCUGCACAAAUUGAACUGACAGCAGUUUUUUUCCACAGAAAGUGUAAAGUCCUGACUAGCAUAGAAUUGUGUUAUGUGGGGUUAUUUGCCUAGGCUGUUUAUACUGAGAGAAAAAAACACUCUUUUAUAAUGUUUUCAAUGGUGUUUACUCAUACUAAAAUACUGUGAACGAGUUUUCUGCAUUCAGCAGCGACGUGACACCACUUCUAAAUCUACAGCACGAAAUAGUGAGCGUAGUGCAGUUUGAUUCCUGAAUGAACAACUCUGGUUCUUAUUUUUUUUGUGUGAUCAGUAUAGUCCAAUUUCAAAGGAAUACAUCUUUUGAGCCUGUUUUGUAAAUCAAAAAUAUACAGUGCGACCAGUACUAAAUGAAAUGACUAUUAUGAGUCUGCAAUUUUUUGUGAAUCACACUUACAGUGCAACCAGUGCAGUUAAAUUCCUGAACAAAUCACUCUUAUGAAACUGUCUUUUUAGUGAAUGCAGCAGCACAGCUAGUGUCGCUCAAUUCUGAUCAAAUCCAUCUUUUAAACCAGUUUUGAAUCAGAAAUAUACAGCACAAGCAGUACAGUCUGGAUCCCGAAUGAAAUUACUCUUAUGGGUUGGCUCUUUUUAGUGAAUCACAUACAUAUAGCACGACCAGUGUAGUUUGAUUUUUGAAUGAAUCACUCUUAUGAACUGGUUCUUUUUAAUGAUGCAGCGGAGUCCAACCCCCGAACGAAUUAUGAAUCUUAUGAAUCUUUUUAAUUAAUCAAAAAGUGUAAUUCAAUUCUUAAUAAAUCUGUCUUCUGAGCCGGUUUGGUAAAUCA
ensembl:lncRNA